UCAGGCCUAACACAUGCAAGUCGAACGGUAACGCGGGGCAACCUGGCGACGAGUGGCGAACGGGUGAGUAAUGUAUCGGAACGUGCCCAGUAGUGGGGGAUAGCCCGGCGAAAGCCGGAUUAAUACCGCAUGAGACCUAAGGGUGAAAGCGGGGGAUCGUAAGACCUCGCGCUAUUGGAGCGGCCGAUAUCAGAUUAGGUAGUUGGUGGGGUAAAGGCCUACCAAGCCGACGAUCUGUAGCUGGUCUGAGAGGACGACCAGCCACACUGGGACUGAGACACGGCCCAGACUCCUACGGGAGGCAGCAGUGGGGAAUUUUGGACAAUGGGCGCAAGCCUGAUC
rnacentral:rRNA from 1 species